GCGAACGCUGGCGGCAGGCUUAACACAUGCAAGUCGAACGCCCGUAGCAAUACGGGAGUGGCAGACGGGUGAGUAACACGUGGGAACAUGCCUUUCGGUUCGGAAUAACCCAGGGAAACUUGGGCUAAUACCGGAUACGCCCUUACGGGGAAAGAUUUAUCGCCGAAAGAUUGGCCCGCGUCCGAUUAGCUAGUUGGUGGGGUAAUGGCCCACCAAGGCGACGAUCGGUAGCUGGUCUGAGAGGAUGAUCAGCCACACUGGGACUGAGACACGGCCCAGACUCCUACGGGAGGCAGCAGUGGGGAAUAUUGGACAAUGGGCGCAAGCCUGAUCCAGCCAUGCCGCGUGAGUGAUGAAGGCCCUAGGGUUGUAAAGCUCUUUCGGCGGGGAAGAUAAUGACGGUACCCGCAGAAGAAGCCCCGGCAAACUUCGUGCCAGCAGCCGCCGUAACAC
rnacentral:rRNA from 1 species